rnacentral:rRNA from 1 species
GACGAACGCUGGCGGCGUGCUUAACACAUGCAAGUCGAACGGAAAGGCCCUGCUUUUGUGGGGUGCUCGAGUGGCGAACGGGUGAGUAACACGUGAGUAACCUGCCCUUGACUUUGGGAUAACUUCAGGAAACUGGGGCUAAUACCGGAUAGGAGCUCCUGCUGCAUGGUGGGGGUUGGAAAGUUUCGGCGGUUGGGGAUGGACUCGCGGCUUAUCAGAUUGUUGGUGGGGUAGUGGCUUACCAAGGCUUUGACGGGUAGCCGGCCUGAGAGGGUGACCGGCGACAUUGGGACGGAGAGACGGCCCAGAAUCCUACGGGAGGCAGCAGUGGGGAAUAUUGCAAAAUGGGCGGAAGCCUGAUGCAGCAACGCCGCGUGCGGGAUGAAGGCCUUCGGGUUGUAAACCGCUUUCGCCUGUGACGAAGCGUGAGUGACGGUAAUGGGUAAAGAAGCACCGGCUAACUACGUG